rnacentral:rRNA from 1 species
CAGCCGCCGCGAUAAUACCGGCGGCCCGAGUGGCGGUCACUAUUAUUGGGCUUAAAGCGUCCGUAGCCGGGUUGGGAAGUCCUCCGGGAAAUCUGGCCGCUUAACGGUCAGAAUGCCGGAGGAUACUCCCAGCCUAGGGAGCGGGAGAGGCCGAGGGUAUUCCCGGAGUAGGGGUGAAAUCCUAUAAUCCCGGGAGGACCACCUGUGGCGAAGGCGCUCGGCUGGAACGCGUCCGACGGUGAGGGACGAAGGCCAGGGGAGCAAACCGGAUUAGAUACCCGGGUAGUCCUGGCUGUAAACGAUGCGGACUUUGUGUCGGACAAGCUAUGAGCUUGUCCGGUGCCGGAGGGAAACCGUUAAGUCCGCCGCCUGGGGAGUACGGCCGCAAGGCUGAAACUUAAAGGAAUUGGCGGG